rnacentral:rRNA from 1 species
AGUGAACGCUGGCGGUAGGCCUAACACAUGCAAGUCGAACGGCAGCACAGUAAGAGCUUGCUCUUACGGGUGGCGAGUGGCGGACGGGUGAGGAAUACAUCGGAAUCUACUUUUUCGUGGGGGAUAACGUAGGGAAACUUACGCUAAUACCGCAUACGACCUACGGGUGAAAGCAGGGGAUCUUCGGACCUUGCGCGAUUGAAUGAGCCGAUGUCGGAUUAGCUAGUUGGCGGGGUAAAGGCCCACCAAGGCGACGAUCCGUAGCUGGUCUGAGAGGCUGGUAGGCGACACUGGAACGGGAACACGGUCCAGACUCCUGCGGUAGGCAGCAGUGGGGAAUAUUAGACAAUGGGCGCAAGCAUGAUACAGCCAUACCGCGUGGGUGAAGAAGGCCUUCGGGUUGUAAAGCCCUUUUGUUGGGAAAGAAAAGCAGCAGGUUAAUACCCCGCUGUUCUGACGGUACCCAAAGAAUAAGCACCGGCUAACUUCGUG